AGGCCUGAAUUCGCCCUUAGGGUUUGAUCAUGGCUCAGGAUGAACGCUGGCGGCGUGCUUAACACAUGCAAGUCGAACGAACCUUCGGGUUAGUGGCGGACGGGUGAGUAACGCGUGAGAAUCUGCCCUCAGGAGGGGGAUAACGGUUGGAAACGACCGCUAAUACCCCAUAUGCCUAUUGGUGAAAUGAAUUUCGCCUGAGGAUGAGCUCGCGUCUGAUUAGCUAGUUGGUGAGGUAAUGGCUCACCAAGGCUUCGAUCAGUAGCUGGUCUGAGAGGAUGAUCAGCCACACUGGGACUGAGACACGGCCCAGACUCCUACGGGAGGCAGCAGUGGGGAAUUUUCCGCAAUGGGCGAAAGCCUGACGGAGCAACGCCGCGUGAGGGACGAAGGCCUUUGGGCUGUAAACCUCUUUUCUCAAGGAAGAAGAUAUGACGGUACUUGAGGAAUAAGCCACGGCUAAUUCCGUGCCAGCAGCCGCGGUAAUACGGGAGUGGCAAGCGUUAUCCGGAAUUAUUGGGCGUAAAGCGUCCGCAGGCGGCUUUUCAAGUCUGCUGUUAAAACGUGGAGCUUAACUCCAUCAUGGCAGUGGAAACUGAAAGGCUUGAGUAUGGUAGGGGCAGAGGGAAUUCCCGGUGUAGCGGUGAAAUGCGUAGAUAUCGGGAAGAACACCAGUGGCGAAGGCGCUCUGCUGGGCCAUUACUGACGCUCAUGGACGAAAGCCAGGGGAGCGAAAGGGAUUAGAUACCCCUGUAGUCCUGGCCGUAAACGAUGAACACUAGGUGUCGGGGGAAUCGACCCCUUCGGUGUCGUAGCUAACGCGUUAAGUGUUCCGCCUGGGGAGUACGCACGCAAGUGUGAAACUCAAAGGAAUUGACGGGGGCCCGCACAAGCGGUGGAGUAUGUGGUUUAAUUCGAUGCAACGCGAAGAACCUUACCAGGGUUUGACAUCCUGCGAACCUCUUAGAAAUUUGAGGGUGCCUUCGGGAAUGCAGUGACAGGUGGUGCAUGGCUGUCGUCAGCUCGUGUCGUGAGAUGUUGGGUUAAGUCCCGCAACGAGCGCAACCCACGUUUUUAGUUGCCAGCAUUUAGUUGGGCACUCUAGAAAGACCGCCGGUGAUAAACCGGAGGAAGGUGUGGAUGACGUCAAGUCAUCAUGCCCCUUACACCCUGGGCUACACACGUACUACAAUGCUACGGACAAAGGGCAGCAAACUCGCGAGAGCUAGCAAAUCCCAUAAACCGUGGCUCAGUUCAGAUCGUAGGCUGCAACUCGCCUACGUGAAGUAGGAAUCGCUAGUAAUCGCAGGUCAGCAUACUGCGGUGAAUACGUUCCCGGGCCUUGUACACACCGCCCGUCACACCAUGGAAGUUGGCCAUGCCCGAAGUCGUUACUCCAACCCUUGUGGAGGAGGACGCCGAAGGUGGGGCUAAUGACUGGGGUGAAGUCGUAACAAGGUAGCCGUA
rnacentral:rRNA from 1 species